CUACGUGCCAGCAGCCGCGGUAAUACGGAAGGUCCGGGCGUUAUCCGGAUUUAUUGGGUUUAAAGGGAGCGUAGGCCGGGGAUUAAGUGUGUUGUGAAAUGUAGGCGCCCAACGUCUGACUUGCAGCGCAUACUGGUUCCCUUGAGUACGCGCAACGCCGGCGGAAUUCGUCGUGUAGCGGUGAAAUGCUUAGAUAUGACGAAGAACCCCGAUUGCGAAGGCAGCCGGCGGGAGCGCAACUGACGCUGAAGCUCGAAGGUGCGGGUAUCGAACAGGAUUAGAUACCCUGGUAGUCCGCACGGUAAACGAUGGAUGCCCGCUGUCGGCGCCUUGCGCCGGCGGCCAAGCGAAAGCGUUAAGCAUCCCACCUGGGGAGUACGCCGGCAACGGUGAAACUCAAAGGAAUUGACGGGGGCCCGCACAAGCGGAGGAACAUGUGGUUUAAUUCGAAGCAACGCGAAGAACCUUACCAGGUCUUGACAUCCCGAUGCUAUUUCUAGAGAUAGAAAGUUA
rnacentral:rRNA from 1 species